UUGACCAGGGCCGUAGCCAGAAAAAAUUUCGGGGGGGGGGGUGAAAUUUUUUUGGGGGGGGGUUUAACCCCUUGCACAUACCCCUCCCCGCUACAAACCUGUCAAUAUCUGCUUGAGAUAGUGCCUGGAGGGACUCUUAAUGUUUUGUGUCUCAUAGACUUAGCAUGGGGAUUUGGUUAACCAGUUAAAAUUCAUGAGUAAACCAGGUUUUUUUUAUAACCUGGAAAAUUUCGGGGGGGGGGGGGUGAACCCCUAAAACCGCCCCCUCGCUACAGGCCUGAGUUUGACCAUGCCUGCUGUAUCCCAACUCCCAUCAGCCUAGUCAUGAUUUGGAAGGAUGAGGAAUGCAGGGAUUAUAGUCCAGCAUCUGGAAGAGGGACACAUAAAAUGGUUUGGCCUUUGCAUCUUGAGUUUGACAGCUGGAAUAGAUGCAGCUAAAGUCUUUGGUGGAAGAGCAGUGAAAGAUCUGUUGGCUUUGCCUUUGGAGAUGCCCAGGGACUUGAAAUGGGCCCAAACAAGGUAGGCAGAGAGGGGCAAGGAGGCAGCUGGUUAAGCAGAGCUACAAACUCACAAAUAAUAAUCAAAUUGACACAAGAGGAACCCACGAAUGUAUACUACCCUGUAAGAUCUCCUGGUGGUACACAAGUCAAAUCCAUUUACAACUCUUUAAAACAAUAAACCUAAUUCAAACAGUAUUUUAAAAAAACCCAAUGUGGUGAUUGGCAACUCUAUCCUACCUUAUAAGAUCUCAAAGUUAUACACACGUUAAACCAAUGUAAACAGUUUAAAACUCUUUAAAACAAGAUACCUCAUUUAAACAGACUAAAAAUAUAUUCAGUUUUAACAAGUCAAAAAUAGAUUUAAAAUACUAAAACACUUUAGCUAUGUGCUUGAAUUUGUCAGGAAUAAAGCAACAUGGCCACAAAGGUACUGAUAAACAGCCAUGGUUGACAUUGUGCUGAAAUGAAGCCAUCGUUGGUCCUCCAAGAGAAAGGUAUUCCACAAUUGAGGGGACAUAACUAAGGAUGUUUUCCCCCACAUCUUUCCGCAAAAUAUUGAUCAGUGAGAGAGGAAGAGGACCCUCCGACAGAGCUCAAACAAUGAAAAGUCUUGAUAAAAUGAAAACAAUCCUUUUAAAGAAUUAUUUUGACUUUUAUAGACCGUGGGCACUUCUGUUGCUGCUAUUGUUUAGAUUCCAUGUUUAGAAUGUUUUGCACUUCAGGAAAUAUUUCUGUGGUUUUAUUUUCCUUUCUGUACACCACUCCCAAGAACUCAGUGUUACUGGCAGUGUAAACAUGGGCUGAAUAGCACAAGAAAAAGAAGACGUGUCCUCCGCUAGAAGAAAACUCACUGUGGCUCAUUCUGUUUCCCUCCUUGAAUGGCCUGCCACAGGCAGAUGCAUUUGUCAGAUGAAAAUAGGUACAUUUGUUGUGUGUCACUAACCUUAAUAGUAGCUCUUUGUUCUGCCAAGAGCAAAUGUUAAAAGCAAGCAGCUUCCAUGACAUUUUAUGGCUGGCACUCCCCACUAAAAAGUUUUGAAUUUGAAAAUGUAUUUUCCUCAUAUUUUAAAAGCUGGAAGAUUUAAGUCUAGUAAUUAGUAUCAUAUGGGGGUUGUGGGUUCAGAUUUACACUUGGCUAUGGAGCUCAUGGGAUAACCUGGGGUCAGGUGUUAUCUCACAGGAUUGCUGUAAGGAUGGAGGCGAUUGGGGGACACUGAUCAAAGCUCCUUGGAUGAAAAAUGGCAUAAAACAUUUGCCACAAACCUUUUGUGUCAAGUACAAAUUCCUAUGUUUUCCAGAGUGUUGAAGUAUAUGCCAACCAAAUUAUUCAGCAUGGUAUCCAAGUGGGAAAGCUUGUGUGUUGCAAAUUUAAGAACCAUGUAUGUGAAAUAGGAUGUGACACUGGGUGCAAAUUUGGAUACUUCAACAUUGUUCAAAGCCUCUGCCUCACGAUCAAAAAAAAAGCUCCAGGCAACAAAAUGUUGCAGAAUGUAUGAGGGAAAUUUAUUUUUAAAAUAACAUUUGUUUCUGUGGUAACUAUUUUCAAGGGCACAAACAGAUUGUUUCAUUGGAGUAUUCUAGCAAGGCAACAUAUAUCAACCUGGUCAACUGCUGAAGAAAAAUGGAAGAAUUAGGAAAGAAGUGCUGUGAUCCAAGGAUACCAAAACCACAGGCACAAGUUGGAAAACACCAUCAGCAAAGGGUCAGUUGGGUUCUGGGUCUUGGGGUCAAGGCUAUUAAUAAUGUGGUCAUGACUUCCAAGAUCAUAGCUGUAAUCCCAAGAUUUGAAUUUUCAAACAAUCAUCAGUCCAAAAACACCGCUUUAUAUACUUAUCUAUUUUGUGUGGCCUUGUGGAUCUUAUGUAUUGGUGAGCAUGGAAUAAGCUCUAUACCAAUCCUUUAUGGUCCUGUAACCUGGACUAAUAUGCUUCUCUGUCCUACCAGCCCUUUCUGAUACUUGACAAAGUGGUGACAGAUUUAUUGUAGCAGCAGUAUAUGAAUGAGGGAAGUAUUUGCUAUUCUUGUGCACUAAAGUAAUUUUAGACUUUGGGCUGCAUGGUUUCAGAGGUGCUUAACUUAUGUGUCCACCUAACCAGCUGCCUCCAAGAUAUGCACUGCUUGCUAUCAUUCUCUGCAUGUGUGGGCUUCACAAAGAAAGAAGACUGACAGCCUUUGGGCUCCAGCUUGUAAGCCAUUGCUUCACACCAGAGACUUUCAAAGGUGCUAGAGAGGUUACUGCAAUCAGCAAAAUCUCCUUUUGUAAUGUAUUGUUUUAAGUUAUCUUUCAAUAGCCAUGGGUGGAGUUAAACCUUUA